AGAGUUUGAUCCUGGCUCAGAACGAACGCUGGCGGCGUGCCUAACACAUGCAAGUCGAACGGGUACAUGUUCGGCACCGUGUGCAUUUUGCCUUUUUAAGGGGGGUGGAGUGGACAGGGUGCCGGACAUGUGCUAGUGGCGCACGGGUGAGUAACACGUAGGCAACCUACCUCAGGGCGGGGGAUAACAUCCGGAAACGGGUGCUAAUACCGCGUAAGCCCACGGAUUGGGAUAUCUGUGGGAAAAGGAGCAAUCCACCUUGAGAUGGGCCUGCGGCCUAUCAGGUAGUUGGCGGGGUAACGGCCCACCAAGCCAAAGACGGGUAGCCGGUCUGAGAGGAUGAACGGCCACACUGGAACUGAGACACGGUCCAGACUCCUACGGGAGGCAGCAGUGGGGAAUUUUGCGCAAUGGGGGAAACCCUGACGCAGCGACGCCGCGUGGAGGACGAAGGCCUUCGGGUUGUAAACUCCUUUUGCCGGGGAAAAUGAUGAUGGUACCCGGCGAAUAAGCCACGGCUAACUCUGUGCCAGCAGCCGCGGUAAUACGGGGGGUGCAAGCGUUGCUCGGAAUUAUUGGGCGUAAAGCGCGUGUAGGCGGUCUGAUUAGUCUGAUGUGAAAGCCCUGGGCUCAACCCAGGAAGUGCAUUGGAUACUGUCAGACUUGAAUACGGGAGAGGGUAGUGGAAUUCCUAGUGUAGGAGUGAAAUCCGUAGAUAUUAGGAGGAACACCGGUGGCGAAGGCGGCUACCUGGACCGAUAUUGACGCUGAGACGCGAAAGCGUGGGUAGCAAACAGGAUUAGAUACCCUGGUAGUCC
rnacentral:rRNA from 1 species